CAACCCUCAAGCCUGGCUUGGUGAUGGGGCACUGCUCUUACCCAAGAGCAGGCCCUGAAAUUCAGUGGCGAGCUCGCCAGGACCCCGAGCGCAGUAGUUAAACCCUCGCUCUGGAAGGCCCUGGCGGUGCCCUGCCGUUAAACCCCCAACUUUUGAAA
rnacentral:misc_RNA from 1 species